rnacentral:rRNA from 1 species
GCUUGCUGGGGGGAUUAGUGGCGAACGGGUGAGUAACACGUGAGUAACCUGCCCUUGACUCUGGGAUAAGCCUGGGAAACUGGGUCUAAUACUGGAUAUGACCUUCCAUCGCAUGGUGGUUGGUGGAAAGCUUUUGUGGUUUUGGAUGGACUCGCGGCCUAUCAGCUUGUUGGUGGGGUAAUGGCCUACCAAGGCGACGACGGGUAGCCGGCCUGAGAGGGUGGACGGCCACACUGGGACUGAGACACGGCCCAGACUCCUACGGGAGGCAGCAGUGGGGAAUAUUGCACAAUGGGCGCAAGCCUGAUGCAGCGACGCCGCGUGAGGGAUGAAGGCCUUCGGGUUGUAAACCUCUUUCAGUAGGGAAGAAGCGAAAGUGACGGUACCUGCAGAAGAAGCGCCGGCUAACUACGUGCCAGCAGCCGCGGUAAUACGUAGGGCGCAAGCGUUAUCCGGAAUUAUUGGGCGUAAAGAGCUCGUAGGCGGUUUGUCGCGUCUGCCGUGAAAGUCCGGGGCUUAACUCCGGAUCUGCGGUGGGUACGGGCAGACUUGAGUGAUGUAGGGGAGACUGGAAUUCCUGGUGUAGCGGUGAAAUGCGCAGAUAUCAGGAGGAACACCGAUGGCGAAGGCAGGUCUCUGGGCAUUAACUGACGCUGAGGAGCGAAAGCAUGGGGAGCGAACAGGAUUAGAUA